GAAGCAGGUAGACAUGCUAUUUAGGCAAAUCCGGAUAGCUUAGUCGAGAUGUGAUAACGAAACCUCUUUCGGGAGGCCAAGUAAGUAAUGCCAUGCUUCCAGGAAAAGCCACUAAGCUUCAGUUAAAUAAAGACCGUACCGUAAACCGACACAGGUGGGUGGGAUGAGAAUUCUAAGGCGCUUGAGAGAACUCAGGAGAAG
rnacentral:rRNA from 1 species